GAUGAACGCUGGCGGCGUGCCUAAUACAUGCGAGUCGAGCGAACAGAUAAGGAGCUUGCUCCUUUGACGUUAGCGGCGGACGGGUGAGUAACGCGUGGAUAACCUACCUAUAAGACUGGGAUAACUUCGGGAAACCGGAGCUAAUACCGGAUAACAUAUUGAACCGCAUGGUUCAAUAGUGAAAGGCGGCUUUGCUGUCACUUAUAGAUGGAUCCGCGCCGUAUUAGCUAGUUGGUAAGGUAACGGCUUACCAAGGCAACGAUACGUAGCCGACCUGAGAGGGUGAGCGGCCACACUGGAACUGAGACACGGUCCAGACUCCUACGGGAGGCAGCAGUAGGGAAUCUUCCGCAAUGGGCGAAAGCCUGACGGAGCAACGCCGCGUGAGUGAUGAAGGUCUUCGGAUCGUAAAACUCUGUUAUCAGGGAAGAACAAAUGUGUAAGUAACUGUGCACAUCUUGACGGUACCUGAUCAGAAAGCCACGGCUAACUACGUG
rnacentral:rRNA from 1 species